UACAGAGGUCCCAAGUGUUGUUCGGAUUCACUGGGCGUAAAGGGUGCGUAGGUGGUGAGGUAAGUCGGAUGUGAAAGCUCGGAGCUCAACUCCGAAAUGGCAUUGGAAACUACCUUGCUCGAGGGUUGGAGGGGGGACUGGAAUACUUGGUGUAGCAGUGAAAUGCGUAGAUAUCAAGUGGAACACCAGUGGCGAAGGCGAGUCCCUGGACAACUCCUGACACUGAGGCACGAAAGCUAGGGGAGCAAACAGG
rnacentral:rRNA from 1 species